rnacentral:tRNA from 1 species
UUGUUUUUAGUUUAAUAAAAAAUGUUUAUUUUCCAAAUAAAAGAUUCUAUAAAGAAAAACAAA